rnacentral:rRNA from 1 species
CCUACGGGUGGCUGCAGUGGGGAAUAUUGGGCAAUGGGCGCAAGCCUGACCCAGCAACGCCGCGUGAAGGAAGAAGGCUUUCGGGUUGUAAACUUCUUUUAAGAGGGAAGAGCAGAAGACGGUACCUCUUGAAUAAGCCACGGCUAACUACGUGCCAGCAGCCGCGGUAAUACGUAGGGGGCAAGCGUUAUCCGGAUUUACUGGGUGUAAAGGGAGCGUAGACGGCUGUGCAAGUCUGAAGUGAAAGCCCGUGGCUCAACCGCGGAACUGCUUUGGAAACUGUAUAGCUUGAGUACUGGAGAGGCAGGCGGAAUUCCUAGUGUAGCGGUGAAAUGCGUAGAUAUUAGGAGGAACACCAGUGGCGAAGGCGGCCUGCUGGACAGAAACUGACGUUGAGGCUCGAAAGCGUGGGGAGCAAACAGGAUUAGAUACCCUUGUAGUC